UACGUAGGGUCCGAGCGUUGUCCGGAAUUACUGGGCGUAAAGAGCUCGUAGGUGGUUUGUCGCGUUGUCCGUGAAAACUCACAGCUCAACUGUGGGCGUGCGGGCGAUACGGGCAGACUGGAGUACUGCAGGGGAGACUGGAAUUCCUGGUGUAGCGGUGAAAUGCGCAGAUAUCAGGAAGAACACCCGUGGCGAAAGCGGCUCUCUGGGACGGUACUGACGCUGAGACGCGAAAGCGUGGGGAGCGAACAGG
rnacentral:rRNA from 1 species